rnacentral:rRNA from 1 species
AUUGAACGCUGGCGGCAGGCCUAACACAUGCGAGUCGAGCGGAUGAAGGGAGCUUGCUCCUGGAUUCAGCGGCGGACGGGUGAGUAAUGCCUAGGAAUCUGCCUGGUAGUGGGGGAUAACGUCCGGAAACGGGCGCUAAUACCGCAUACGUCCUGAGGGAGAAAGUGGGGGAUCUUCGGACCUCACGCUAUCAGAUGAGCCUAGGUCGGAUUAGCUAGUUGGUGGGGUAAAGGCCUACCAAGGCGACGAUCCAUAACUGGUCUGAGAGGAUGAUCAGUCACACUGGAACUGAGACACGGUCCAGACUCCUACGGGAGGCAGCAGUGGGGAAUAUUGGACAAUGGGCGAAAGCCUGAUCCAGCCAUGCCGCGUGUGUGAAGAAGGUCUUCGGAUUGUAAAGCACUUUAAGUUGGGAGGAAGGGCAGUAAGUUAAUACCUUGCUGUUUUGACGUUACCAACAGAAUAAGCACCGGCUAACUUCGUG